AUUGAACGCUGGCGGCAGGCCUAACACAUGCAAGUCGAGCGGAUGAAGGGGGCUUGCUCCUGGAUUCAGCGGCGGGCGGGUGAGUAAUGCCUAGGAAUCUGCCUGGUAGUGGGGGAUAACGUCCGGAAACGGGCGCUAAUACCGCAUACGUCCUGAGGGAGAAAGUGGGGGAUCUUCGGACCUCACGCUAUCAGAUGAGCCUAGGUCGGAUUAGCUAGUUGGUGGGGUAAAGGCCUACCAAGGCGACGAUCCGUAACUGGUCUGAGAGGAUGAUCAGUCACACUGGAACUGAGACACGGUCCAGACUCCUACGGGAGGCAGCAGUGGGGAAUAUUGGACAAUGGGCGAAAGCCUGAUCCAGCCAUGCCGCGUGUGUGAAGAAGGUCUUCGGAUUGUAAAGCACUUUAAGUUGGGAGGAAGGGCAGUAAGUUAAUACCUUGCUGUUUUGACGUUACCAACAGAAUAAGCACCGGCUAACUUCGUG
rnacentral:rRNA from 1 species